rnacentral:rRNA from 1 species
UUUAUAUGAGAGUUUGAUCCUGGCUCAGGAUGAACGCCGGCGGUGUGCCUAAUACAUGCAAGUCGUACGCACUGGCCCAAUUGAUUGAUGGUGCUUGCACCUGAUUGACGAUGGAUCACCAGUGAGUGGCGGACGGGUGAGUAACACGUAGGUAACCUGCCCCGGAGCGGGGGAUAACAUUUGGAAACAGAUGAUAAUACCGCAUAACAACAAAAGUCACAUGGCUUUUGUUUGAAAGAUGGCUUUGGCUAUCACUCUGGGAUGGACCUGCGGUGCAUUAGCUAGUUGGUAAGGUAACGGCUUACCAAGGCGAUGAUGCAUAGCCGAGUUGAGAGACUGAUCGGCCACAAUGGAACUGAGACACGGUCCAUACUCCUACGGGAGG